AACGCUAGCUACAGGCUUAACACAUGCAAGUCGAGGGGCAGCAUGUUGGUUGCUUGCAACCAAUGAUGGCGACCGGCGCACGGGUGAGUAACGCGUAUCCAACCUUCCCCUUACUCGGGUCCAGCCCGUUGAAAGACGGAUUAAUCCCCGAUGCUCUCAUAUACUGGCAUCAGUUUAUGAGCAAAGAUUUAUCGGUAAGGGAUGGGGAUGCGUAUGAUUAGCUUGUUGGUGUGGUAACGGCUCACCAAGGCUACGAUCAUUAGGGGUUCUGAGAGGAAGGUCCCCCACACUGGAACUGAGACACGGUCCAGACUCCUACGGGAGGCAGCAGUGAGGAAUAUUGGUCAAUGGAGGCAACUCUGAACCAGCCAAGUAGCGUGCAGGAUGACGGCCCUAUGGGUUGUAAACUGCUUUUAUGCGGGGAUAAACGAGCCUACGUGUAGGUUUUUGCAGGUACCGCAUGAAUAAGGACCGGCUAAUUCCGUGCCAGCAGCCGCGGUAAUACGGAAGGUCCGGGCGUUAUCCGGAUUUAUUGGGUUUAAAGGGAGCGUAGGUGGACAGUUAAGUCAGUUGUGAAAGUUUGCGGCUCAACCGUAAAAUUGCAGUUGAUACUGGCUGUCUUGAGUACAGUAGAGGUGGGCGGAAUUCGUGGUGUAGCGGUGAAAUGCUUAGAUAUCACGAAGAACUCCGAUUG
rnacentral:rRNA from 1 species